CGCAAUAGGGCUCUGUGAACCGUGUCAGGUGGGGAACCAAGCAGCACUAAGCAGUCCACCCUGUGUGCCG
rnacentral:SRP_RNA from 1 species